rnacentral:rRNA from 1 species
AUUGAACGCUGGCGGAAGGCCUAACACAUGCAAGUUGAGCGGAGCGGCGGACGGGUGAGUAAUGCCUAGGAAUCUGCCUUGUAGUCGGGGAUAACGUCCGGAACCGGGCGCUAAUCCCGCAUACUAUCAGAUGAGCCUAGGUCGGAUUAGCUAGUUGGUGGGGUAAAGGCCUACCAAGGCGACGAUCCGUAACUGGUCGGAGAGGAUGAUCAGUCACACUGGAACGGAGACACGGUCACGACUCCUACGGGAGGCCGCAGUGGGGAAUAUUAUAGAAUGGGCGAAAUCCUGAUCCAGCCAUGCCGCGUGUGUGAAGCAGGUCUUCAGAUUUUGAAGCACUUUAAGUUGGGAGGCGUUACCAACAGAAUAAGCACCGGCUAACUUCAUGCCAGCAGCCGCGGUAAUAC